ACUCCUACGGGAGGCAGCAGUAGGGAAUCUUCGGCAAUGGACGGAAGUCUGACCGAGCAACGCCGCGUGAGUGAAGAAGGUUUUCGGAUCGUAAAGCUCUGUUGUAAGAGAAGAACGAGUGUGAGAGUGGAAAGUUCACACUGUGACGGUAUCUUACCAGAAAGGGACGGCUAACUACGUGCCAGCAGCCGCGGUAAUACGUAGGUCCCGAGCGUUGUCCGGAUUUAUUGGGCGUAAAGCGAGCGCAGGCGGUUAGAUAAGUCUGAAGUUAAAGGCUGUGGCUUAACCAUAGUACGCUUUGGAAACUGUUUAACUUGAGUGCAAGAGGGGAGAGUGGAAUUCCAUGUGUAGCGGUGAAAUGCGUAGAUAUAUGGAGGAACACCGGUGGCGAAAGCGGCUCUCUGGCUUGUAACUGACGCUGAGGCUCGAAAGCGUGGGGAGCAAACAGGAUUAGAUACCCUGGUAGACAU
rnacentral:rRNA from 1 species